rnacentral:rRNA from 1 species
UUCCGGUUGAUCCUGCCGGAGGUUAUUGCUAUCAGGGUUUGACUAAGCCAUGCGAGUCGAGAGGUGUAAGACCUCGGCAUACUGCUCAGUAACACAUGGAUAAUCUGCCCUUAGGUGGAGGAUAUCCCCGGGAAACUGGGACUAAUACUCCAUAGUGGAUAUAUGCUGGAAUGCUGUAUCCUCGAAAGAUUAAUCGCCUAAGGAUGAGUCUGUGCCCGAUUAGGUUGUUGGCGGGGUAACGGCCCACCAAGCCAUUGAUCGGUACGGGUUGUGGGAGCAAGAUCCCGGAGAUGGAUUCUGAGACAUGAAUCCAGGCCCUACGGGGCGCAGCAGGCGCGCAAACUUUACAAUGCGAGCAAUCGUGAUAAGGAAACCCUGAGUGCCUGUCGAUGCAGGCUGUUCAUAUAUCUAAAUCAUAUGUGAAGAAAGGGCAGGGCAAGACCGGUGCCAGCCGCCGCGGUAAUACCGGCUGCUCGAGUGAUAACCACUAUUACUGGGUUUAAAGCGUCCGUAGCUUGAUUGUUAGGUCUCUUGGGAAAUCUUCACGCUCAACGUGAAGGCGUCUAAGAGAUACCGGCAAUCUUGGAACUGGGAGAGGUAAACCGUACUUCGGGGGUAGGAGUGAAAUCUCGUAAUCCUCGAGGGACGACCUAUGGCGAAGGCAGUUUACCAGAACAGCUUCGACAGUGAGGGACGAAAGCUGGGGGAGCAAACGGGAUUAGAUACCCCGGUAGUCCCAGCCGUAAACAAUGUGCGUUAGGUCUGUCGGUAACCACGUGUUACUGAUGAGCCGAAGAGAAAUCGUGAAACGCACCACCUGGGAAGUACGGUCGCAAGGCUGAAACUUAAAGGAAUUGGCGGGGGAGCACCACAACAGGUGGAGCCUGCGGUUUAAUUGGAGUCAACGCCGGA